rnacentral:lncRNA from 1 species
UCUUUAUGGCGUGUCUAUUACCUGUUUCCUUGAGAGGAAUCAUUAGAGCCUUUACAGAUGUCAAAGCAGAGUUACAUAAAUUCAAGCUCCAACAUAUUCCCGUGCAAAUGUUGGUAGUCAAUGGCGGGUAAGAUCAUCUUGAAAACCUUCUCAACCUAAGGUAGGUCAUUAAUAAAAUAUUAUUCAUGUGCCAAUGAUGGGUAAGAGUUGUGUUUUCAGAUGGCAACCUAAGAUACCUACAACUUUCUGCUCCAUGAUUGAUAAAGUGUGCAGCUCUUAUACAUAAAAACGAACAGUUAGAUUCACUACAGCAGGACAUGAAUGCUAGGAUUCAUGUACCAAUGACAGGUAAGAUCCAUACUUCUUGAGAGGGUGUCUAAGGCAGGCAUAGUCUUUCUGUGCCAAUAGCUAAGAUAGCUUUGGCUUGUAUAGAUAAAAAAAAAAAAGUUGGGGGAAAAUGUGAAGCACAACCAGAGUUAACUUUGGCUGACUUCUUGCUUCUGAUUUAUCAUGAAUGAGCCUACUAACAUCUGUCUUUGUUUUUAGUUUAGAUAUGAGUUAUAUCCUGCUAAGUUCCUCCACUUACAAAUACAUCCUUGAGAGACUGUCCAAACAUGAAGGAAAUGGGCUUGGUAAAACAUAGAUACAGUAUACAAUAAACUCUGCAUUUAAGCAUUUGUGGUUAUUGCUUUACUUCCUGGUCAUGCUUUCUGUUGCUUGCCUUUAAAAGACACUGAGAAAAUACACUUGCUGAUGGCAUGGUAUUGACCAGCAGCCCUCUCUUAUCUGUCCCUCUCUUUUUGUUUUGUUUUGUUUUGUUUUUUGAGACAGGGUUUCUCUGUAUAGCCCUGGCAGUCCUGGA